rnacentral:rRNA from 1 species
GACGAACGCUGGCGGCGUGCCUAAUACAUGCAAGUAGAACGCACAGUUUAUACCGUAGCUUGCUACACCAUAGACUGUGAGUUGCGAACGGGUGAGUAACGCGUAGGUAACCUGCCUGGUAGCUGGGGAUAACUAUUGGAAACGAUAGCUAAUACCGCAUAAUAUUGAUUAUUGCAUGAUAAUUGAUUGAAAGAUGCUAUUGCAUCACUACCAGAUGGACCUGCGUUGUAUUAGCUAGUAGGUGAGGUAACGGCUCACCUAGGCGACGAUACAUAGCCGACAUGAGAGGGUGGUCGGCCACACUGGGACUGAGACACGGCCCAGAGUCCUACGGGAGGCAGCCGUAGGGAAUCUUCGGCAAUGGACGGAAGUCUGACCGAGCAACGCCGCGUGAGUGAAGAAGGGUUUCGGAUCGUAAAGCUCUGUUGUAAGAGAAGAACGGGUGUGAGAGUGGAAAGUUCACACUGUGACGGUAUCUUACCAGAAAGGAACGGCUAACUACGUG